GUGGGGAAUCUUGCGCAAUGGGGGAAACCCUGACGCAGCAACGCCGCGUGAGUGAUGAAGGUCUUCGGAUCGUAAAGCUCUGUCGGCAGGAACGAUGGCUUUGUUGGUUAAUACCCAACAAAGUUGACGGUACCUGCAAAGGAAGCACCGGCUAACUCUGUGCCAGCAGCCGCGGUAAGACAGAGGGUGCAAGCGUUGCUCGGAAUUAUUGGGCGUAAAGGGCGCGUAGGCGGCCAUGUAAGUCAUGUGUGAAAUACCAGGGCUCAACCCUGGAACUGCAUAUGAUACUGCUUGGCUUGAAUCUCGGAGAGGGUGGUGGAAUUCCCAGUGUAGAGGUGAAAUUCGUAGAUAUUGGGAGGAACACCGGUGGCGAAGGCGACUGCCUGGACGAAGAUUGACGCUGAGGCGCGAAAGCGUGGGGAGCAAACAGGAUUAGAAACCCUAGUAGUCC
rnacentral:rRNA from 1 species